GACGAACGCUGGCGGCGUGCUUAACACAUGCAAGUCGAACGGGCCUUGUCCCCUUUUUUUUUGGGGGUGGGGUUAGUGGCGAACGGGUGAGUAACACGUGAGUAACCUGCCCCUCACUUCUGGAUAACCGCUUGAAAGGGUGGCUAAUACGGGGUGUUCUGGCCUGCUCGCAUGGGUGGGUUUGGAAAGAUUCGACCGGUUUUGGUUGUUUUGGUGGGGGAUGGGCUCGCGGCCUAUCAGCUCGUUGGUGGGGUGAUGGCCUGCCAAGGCUUUGACGGGUAGCCGGCCUGAGAGGGUGGGCGGUCACACUGGGACUGAGACACGGCCCAGACUCCUACGGGAGGCAGCAGUGGGGAAUAUUGCACAAUGGGCGCAAGCCUGAUGCAGCGACGCCGCGUGAGGGAUGGAGGCCUUCGGGUUGUGAACCUCUUUCGCCAGUGAAGAAGGUCCUGCUCUUUGUGGUGGGGUUGACGGUAGCUGGGUUAAUGAAGCGCCGGCUAACUACGUG
rnacentral:rRNA from 1 species